rnacentral:ncRNA from 2 species
CUGACAGACUCGGGGUGCGAUAUAUAUUGACUGCUUAACAUGCAGUUAACAUAUGGUCGCUGAGAAACCACCCGCCGAACCUGAUGCGGUUAGUACCGACGCAGGGAAGUCUUAAGCUUAUGUU